rnacentral:rRNA from 1 species
AUGGGUUGAUCUGCCCUGCACUUCGGGAUAAGCCUGGGAAACUGGGUCUAAUACCGGAUAUGACCUCCUAUUGCAUGGUGUGUGGUGGAAAGAUUUAUCGGUGCAGGAUGGGCCCGCGGCCUAUCAGCUUGUUGGUGGGGUAAUGGCCUACCAAGGCGACGACGGGUAGCCGACCUGAGAGGGUGACCGGCCACACUGGGACUGAGACACGGCCCAGACUCCUACGGGAGGCAGCAGUGGGGAAUAUUGCACAAUGGGCGAAAGCCUGAUGCAGCGACGCCGCGUGAGGGAUGACGGCCUUCGGGUUGUAAACCUCUUUCAGCAGGGACGAAGCGCAAGUGACGGUACCUGCAGAAGAAGCACCGGCUAACUACGUGCCAGCAGCCGCGGUAAUACGUAGGGUGCAAGCGUUGUCCGGAAUUACUGGGCGUAAAGAGUUCGUAGGCGGUUUGUCGCGUCGUUUGUGAAAACCAGCAGCUCAACUGCUGGCUUGCAGGCGAUACGGGCAGACUUGAGUACUGCAGGGGAGACUGGAAUUCCUGGUGUAGCGGUGAAAUGCGCAGAUAUCAGGAGGAACACCGGUGGCGAAGGCGGGUCUCUGGGCAGUAACUGACGCUGAGGAACGAAAGCGUGGGUAGCGAACAGGAUUAGAUACCCUGGUAGUCCACGCCGUAAACGGUGGGCGCUAGGUGUGGGUUCCUUCCACGGAAUCCGUGCCGUAGCUAACGCAUUAAGCGCCCCGCCUGGGGAGUACGGCCGCAAGGCUA